AUAUAAAAACUUCAAAUGGCAUAUGGAAAUAAUUUAAAAUGAAAAUACAUUUGUGCUUAACAACAUUAUUUCUUUAAAUUAAUAUAAUCUUUAAUCUAUAUAAUUAUAAAUAAUACAUAAAUUAAUAAAAGACUAGGUAAAUUAUAUGUAAAUAUCUUUUGGAUCAUUAUAAUUGAGUAUUAGAGACUACAACUUGAAUAAUUGUACAGUGCCUGGAACCAAAU